AUUGAACGCUGGCGGCAGGCUUAACACAUGCAAGUCGAGCGGGGUGAUGGUGCUUGCACUAUCACUUAGCGGCGGACGGGUGAGUAAUGCUUAGGAAUCUGCCUAUUAGUGGGGGACAACAUCUCGAAAGGGAUGCUAAUACCGCAUACGUCCUACGGGAGAAAGCAGGGGAUCACUUGUGACCUUGCGCUAAUAGAUGAGCCUAAGUCGGAUUAGCUAGUUGGUGGGGUAAAGGCCUACCAAGGCGACGAUCUGUAGCGGGUCUGAGAGGAUGAUCCGCCACAAUGGGACUGAGACACGGCCCAGACUCCUACGGGAGGCAGCAGUGGGGAAUAUUGGACAAUGGGGGGAACCCUGAUCCAGCCAUGCCGCGUGUGUGAAGAAGGCCUUAUGGUUGUAAAGCACUUUAAGCGACGAGGAGGCUCUUUUGGUUAAUACCCAAGAUGAGUGGACGUUACUCGCAGAAUAAGCACCGGCUAACUUCGUGCCAGCAGCCGCCGUAA
rnacentral:rRNA from 1 species